AGAGCUUGGAGACAGACACUGUAAACCGUGUCUUAUCAGUGGUCUAGUUUCUGUUUGCGUUCCAGCUGGGGACUCUUCUGAUGGGAACCACCUGUUCCUGGUCUUUGCGCGCUUUGGAUUUCCCCAGUCCUUCAGUCCUUUCAGUUUUGAAAUGAAACCUGCUCUCCUGGCUAAGGUCAGGUCCAAGAGGACUUUGACAGUUCACACCGACUUGUUUUUUCUUAGAGCCAGCUGGUGGAAACAUGGUCUGGUAACACCACGCUUCCGGAUGUGAUUGUGGAGCUGGAUUGCUUAACCUGGGCUAAGUCAUUUAUCUUCCUGUGUCCCUCAGUUCUUCAUGGGCUGCAGAAGUGUUAAGAGUGCCUGCUUGUCUUCGAGAGGACCAGAGAUCAAUUCCCAGCAUCCAUCCCUGGAAGCUACAGGGAAUUCAACACUCUUCCUGACUUCCUCAAACACCUGCACACAUAUGGCUUAUAGACACACAGGGAAAGAAGUAAAGGAAAUCUUAAAAACAGCUGUGUAUUUUUAAAUUUA
rnacentral:lncRNA from 1 species